ACUCCUACGGGAGCCGGGCUUCGUCCUUGACUCCAACGGCUGCAGACAAACUUCGUCCGGACUCCUACGAGAGCCGGACUCCGCCGACAACUUCGACCUCAAGUAGACUCCGCCCGGACUCCUACGGGAGCCGGGCUUCGUCCUCAGCGUCAACUGCUGGUAAGCCCCAUCCAGACUCCUACGGGAGCCGGAUUUCAUCUUUAACUUAGACUGCAGGAAGACUCCGUCCGGACUCCUACGGGAGCCGGGCUCCAUCCUCAACUCCACACAGACUUCGUCCAGACUUCUACGGGAGCCAGACUCCGCAUCUGAUUUUGAUUGCAGGGGAUUCCACCCGGACUCCUACAAGAGCCGGGUUCCGCCCGCGACUCUGGCUCCGGGAGGGCUCUGCCCGGACUCCCACGGAAGCCGGGCUCCAUCCACGACCCCAACCGCAAGGAGGACUCCGCCCGGACCCCUACAGAGGCCGGACCCCGACCGCUGCCGAGCUUCAGCCGACAGAUCCGCGCCCCCUGGCAGGUCACAAUAACAACCAUGAUCCUGCUCCACUUCCUGUGGCGGAUUCCGCGCAGCUCCAUCACUCCCUGACAGGCCGCAGUAACAGUCG
rnacentral:lncRNA from 1 species